rnacentral:rRNA from 1 species
UACGAAGGGGGCUAGCGUUGCUCGGAAUCACUGGGUUUAAAGGGUGCGUAGGCGGACAGGUAAGUCAGUGGUGAAAUCUCUGGGCUUAACCCAGAAACUGCCGUUGAUACUAUUUGUCUUGAAUAUCCUGGAGGUAGGCGGAAUAUGUCAUGUAGCGGUGAAAUGCUUAGAUAUGACAUAGAACACCGAUAGCGAGGGCAGCUUACUACAGGAUGAUUGACGCUGAGGCACGAAAGCGUGGGGAGCAAACAGG